GGCCUGUUGGUCAAGUGGUUAAGACACGGCCCUCUCACGGCUGUAACAGGGGUCCGACUCCCCUACAGGUCA
rnacentral:tRNA from 1 species